GUGCUUACUUUGGCAGGACAUAUACUAAAAUUGGAAUGGUACAGAGAAGAUUAACAUGGUCCCUGGGCAAAGAUGAUAAUCAAAUUCGUGAACUGUUCCAUAAAAAA
rnacentral:snRNA from 1 species